UUGCUUUGGCAUAUGUACUAAAAUUGGAUCAGUGCAGAGAAGAUUAGAGUGGCCCCUGCAAAAAGGAUGACAUGAAAAUUAGGUUGAGGAAAAGCUAUGAAUU